rnacentral:rRNA from 1 species
CUUUAUUGGAGAGUUUGAUCCUGGCUCAGGAUGAACGCUGGCGGCGUGCCUAAUACAUGCAAGUCGAGCGAAUGGAUUAAGAGCUUGCUCUUAUGAAGUUAGCGGCGGACGGGUGAGUAACACGUGGGUAACCUGCCCAUAAGACUGGGAUAACUCCGGGAAACCGGGGCUAAUACCGGAUAACAUUUUGAAC